UUUAACGUGCAUAAUUAAAAUUGUCGGAAAAAACAACGGUCACGUUUUCCUAUCGUGGUUAGUUUUUCAACUGGUGCAGCAUGAAGAAGAAAAAUACAAGAGUUGUAAAGCAAAAUACAAGCCUGCGUUUGAAAUCGAACCGUGACAACAUUGCAUUUGUCGCUGAAAUAGUUCGAUCUGAGCAAGAGGUAAAAAUAUUUAAUUUUAUCGAAAAACUAUCAACUUUAUAUAACCUCACUUUUUCGCAGAAUGUUCAUCAGCACAAUGUUUCAGAUGCAACGGAAAAGUGCGAUUCCCCUCAGAAAUUUCCAAGAAAAACGGCCAAAAAAUCUGAUUGUAAACGGUCUCCGAAACCAAAACAAACAGAAAGUCAACAUCCUAUACCAGCUACCGGCUCCCGAUCAAGUGGAGCUCGCUUGCAACAACCUGAUUUAAAUAGCUCAAAGGAAAGUGUAUGUUCACCCAAAAAGAAGUCGAAGUUGGACAAACUAUGUCUCGAUAACCAUUCAGAAUCUGUUGAAGAAUGUGAAAUGGAAGAACGGAGAACGCAAAAUUGUAAUAUACCUGGCAUAUCGAGGUCUUGCAGAGUACGGCUACGAAAGAAAAGACAAAUUUGUUUAUGCACACCAUGCAUUGCAAAUCAAAAUUCGGAAUUUAAUCGAAAUUCUUAAAUUACGAAAACCUUGACUCGCUGUUCUUCAGUGGAGGUAUGUAAAAAAACUUUCCAUACAUAACAUUUACAACAUUUGUUUUGUUCAGAGUUUUUCUAAAAGCGCUUCGGUGAGGCUUCAAGAUUUUGAUUCUACUGAUAUUUCAACUGAAGCAAAACCAACGACUAAAUCUGUAAAUAAAAAUAUUACAUUAAAAUCAGAUAAACUGCGUCAACGAUAUCUGAGCUCUGAUUAUCCCAGCGACAUAAAAGAGACGGCCGUGAUGAAUUUAAAGGCAAAUCAACAGUUUGAAGGCAUAUUUGCUGGAAAAUCCAAACUGAACACAGUUAAUUCGCGACAAUCAGCUAUUACGAAUUCGAUAUGUGACUCAGAUCUAUUGAGAGAAACGAAGACAGCUAACGUAGUUGGAAAACAUCCACCGAUUAACAACUCUUCUGUCACCAAUAAUGCGAAAGUUGUUACAAGAAUGGAAUCAAAAUUAAUAUAAUCUUCGGAUACAGACUUUACGUCAUUGGAUGAUGUCAACGGCGAAUAUUUCGUUUCUCGUUCUAAAUUACCUAUGUCUAAAACAAUUCGAACAAUCAUUAGAGAUACCACAAAGAAUAAAAAUCGUAUGCAGUCUAUAUUGACCCCCUUAAGUAAUAGGGUAUCUCCAGCAACCAACAGCUUUACAGAUUCCUCAACUGACGAUAUGGCUAACGUUGGCGAUUACUCUUCAAAAGGUUGCGUCAAUUGUAAGAUACUUAGUAAAAGAAUUCUAAGUUUAACAAAACGUUUAACAAAGAUUACGAGAGUAUAUCGUGAUUUACGCAUUAAAUCAAACCGUUUAGCAUGUGCAUUAACAUCUCGUCUAUUGCCAAGUGAAGACAAUUUCAAUUUUAAGACAGUUCCCGGGUAUCCAUCUGCGGAUAAAUUAACUCAGCUCUCGAAUCACGCUGGAGAUAGUGAUUUCAUUUUCAUUAAACUUGUAAUGAAAGAACUCUGGCCAAAGGGAUUUCACGGCAGAACUGUAACUGGUAGAGCAUCUAAUAAUCCUUCAGGUCGACCGAUUGAUGUCAGCAAUGCUAAUUCAUCAGUUCAUAUGCCCUUGGCAAACGAUAGUUCUGGGAAAGAACCACUUGAGAAAGAAAAGGUCAACUAUGUUAAAGAACGCCUUUAUGAAAGAAAAAUACUGACUGGAAUGGAUCCAACGACUGCUGCACAAGAAUCUGCGAGACAAUCCGGAAGACAUAUGGCAAGAGUAAUUGCAUAUUAUGCCAAAAUGGGACAUUUUUGAAGUUGAAUUAUAACAAAUAAUAUGCGUUGAAAUAUUACUUUA